rnacentral:lncRNA from 1 species
GACUCGCGGUUGUCGAAACCGGUCAAAAAUAACCUUUCUGGUUAUCAACAAUUUACAACUGCAGAUAGUGGUGAAAGGAUCGAAUCCACAGGGAAUUGAAGACUUACCUAUUUUCCUUAUCAAGACCAAUAAAAUAAACUGAAAUAAAAAUAAACUGCAAAAGAAGAAAACUGAAAACGAGAUAAACUGAAACGAGAUAAAACUGAAAUAAGAUAAAACUGAAACGAGAUAAAACUGAAAACGAGAUAAAUUGAAACGAGAUAAAACUGAAAUGAGAUAAAACUGAAAGAGAAAUAAACGGA